AAAGUAGUCCCUCCGUCCCAAAAUUCUUGUCUUAGAUUUGUCUAGAUACGGAUGUAUCAAGUCACAUUUUAGUAUUAGAUACAUUUGUAUCUACAUCCGUAUCUAGACAAAUCUAAGACAAGAAAUUUGGGACAGAGGGAGUAAUUG
rfam:Triticum aestivum genome assembly, contig: Triticum_aestivum_CS42_TGACv1_scaffold_129976_2BL